AAGGUCUCCGUUGGUGAACCAGNGGAGGGAUCAUUA
rnacentral:rRNA from 1 species